CACCUUGCUCUUGGGGAGACUCGAACUCACAACCUCUUGGUUGGAAGUGGAGGUUGCUUACCAUCAGAGCAACCCCUCUUGUCUCUAUGCAACGUUAAUAGAAAUUAGUUAAACGAUAAUGCUCGCGAGAGGCAAAUGUUUAGCUCCCAGGAUUCACCUCAAUGGCGUUGGAGACCUCCUUUCCUUUUACUGUUUCAGGUCACAAUUUCUCUACUCUUCAACCUCUACUCUUUUCUUUGUAAAUUACCUGGUUGAUUAUCUUGGGUUCUCCCAAGAAGAAACAACCUCUACAUAUUCCAAGUUAUCUUCACGGAAAACCUCCAGAGAUCCCGAUUUAGUCCUCAAUUUCUUGAAACAAACCAGUUUUGCCAACUCCUGGAUCAAAAAGAUGGUCUCCAGAGCACCCGAAUUGCUAUUCUCUGAUGUUUCUAAAACCCGAAAACCCAAAUUCUAGUGCCUUUUGGACCUCGGGCUAUCCAGGUCGGAUCUGGUGAGUGUAAUUGAUAAAAAUACAAAAAAUUAUGGCAAGAGGUUUAGAUACUUAUAUGAGACCUACCAUUGAUUUUCUUUGGCCACCGACGGAAAUGUAGUUACGGCUAUAAAUAGAAGUCCUUGGAUGCUUUGUUUUGGUGCCCAUCAUAUUAUAAAUACUAAUGUAUUGUUGUUGAAAAACUGUGGUAUUUCUGAUGCGAGAAUUAAAAAAUUCAUGCUUCAAAAUCCUUCUCGUGUUACAUAUAAUCCUGAUUGUGUUAAGUAUUUCUUGCAUAGAGUGGAGAAGAAUUUUCGAGUUCCGCUUGACUCCCCUAGUUUUCUUCAUGCAUUUCAUGUUUUAUCUGCGCAAAAAAAAGUCUACAUUGGAUAGGAAGAUUGGAAUAUUCAAGAGUUUUGGAUGGUCUGAUGAUGAAAUACUCGAGUUACUCGGAAGCUACCGCUUUGUACUGCUCUCUCAGAGAUUAAAAUUCAGAAAGCAUUGAAUCUUUACAUGAAGGAGCUCAGUUUUGAACCUAGUUACUUGGCUUCUCGUCCUGCAUUUUUGGUCUAUAGUCUGGAAAAAAGGGUGAUACCUCGGAUGCAAGUCUUGAAAAUUUUGGAUGAAAAGAAGCUUGAGAGGAGAAAGGUGAGUCUCUAUUAUGUUCUGACCUUAACAGAGUCAAAGUUCAUAGAGUAUUUUGUGCUGCUCUACAAGGAUCAGAUACCCAAACUAUAUUUUUUUUUAAUAAGCCAUCUCCUUCUUUGUUUGUGAGCCUAGGGAGGGUGUGGGGGGUUAGUCCUGGACCCCUACCAUGUAUAUUAAAUUAACAAUGACAAGAGGGGUACAUGGAACCCUGGGCCGGUCUACAAAAAUAGCCCAGCAAGCAGGAAAGGCAUAGCCUAUACAAAAAAACCUUUCCAUAAAAUUAGAAACCUAACUAACAAAAAAAUUAUAUUUUUCAUAUCUCCUAAAAAAAGGAAAAUGCUAUUUGUCAAGUUGAAUCAGCCCUUUUGCCUCUCUAGGAAGACUGUCUUGAAAGUGAUAUAAGGUCCUUUUUCCACUUGUAGAAGCCAAUUUUAGCAACAGAUCCGCAACUUUGUUUGCUUCUCUAAGGCAGUGAGAGAUACAAUGUACAAUGUUACCAAGCAACAGUAUUACCAUUGAUAACGUGUUGCAACUUCAAAUUUUUGGUGUCUUGCUUGAUGAGGUUGUUAGCGACAAUAAGAGAAUCAGUCUCCACAUGAAUACUAGAGUAGUCUUGUUGAGUGCACCAUUCUACCCCAAAUCUCACUGCUGGCGCUUCAGCUUGUGAGCUGCUAUUGGCUCGGAUCGGGAUCGAAAAUGCAAAGAUGAAAUCACCACUGCUAUCUCUAACAAUGCCCCCAAUCCCAGAUUUCGUGCUAGCUCUAAUAAAACUACAAUCAGUGUUAAUUUUAAUCCAACCAAGAGGUAGUUUGAUCCAUUGAACAGGAGUACAUGCAACAGCUGGUUUGAGUUUCUCCACCAAUAUACAAAGAUUACUCCAUGAACCAUUGGUGUCGAUCUUAGGAUAAGCAUCCUUAAGAACUGCUUUCAUAUUCCAAACACAUUGCGUAACCAUUCUGUACAAGUAGAAACUAUUAUUGUCCCCAUACCUACAUGCCGGCUAAGAUUUCCAAAUCUCCCAACAUAUAAUGAUAGGAAGAGCUUGUAUUACUAGUUUGUGAACACUGUUUCUAGAUUUUAUGUUCCACCACUUAUUAAGAAAAGCUCUGAUUGACAAGUGAUUCCCAAAGGGUUACCCAUAGCUUUCCAAACAUACUCGGCUGCUCUACCCUCUACAAAGACAUGUUACAAGGUCUCCCUAGCAGGAGUUGGACAACAUCUAUGCACUUCUGUGUCUUGAGAAUCCAACCUUGUAAUGCUAUUUCUAAUAGGGGUUCUGCCAAAGAAGAUUCUCCAGCACAUGAAUGAUGGUUUGAAGGGAAUGGAUUUGUGCCAUAUCUUGUUGAUUGUGCCAUUGAUUGCUCUAUGCCCCCUGAUCAUAUUCCAAGCAGAACCAUUUGUAAAGUGACCAUCCUCAGUAGCAUUCCAUAUAGCAUAAUCAUUUUUGUUAUCCUGGCCCAGCUCUAUUUACAUGAUGUGUAAAGCAAUUUGGCUAGGAAAAGUAUUGUAUAGUUUCUGUGCAUCCCACAUGGUAGAAGUUGUGAAAUCAUUUACCUUCUUUUUUGCAUUGGUAGUGUUCAUGUAGCUUGAACAAAUAUAUGCCAAAGGACCCAAUUCAGUCCAGUUAUCCCUUGCUUUUCACACUUAUCUCUAGCCCAGAGCAGAUACUUCCACGCUUGAGAGUUGCCACUGCACUAUUUCUUACCAACAGGAUGAAUUCUAGAACAGGCCUCUCUGCCCUUUCGGGCAGGGGUAAGGCUCGUCUACAUAUUACCCUCCCCAGACCCCACAAAGGAAUUAGACUCAGAGUUGGAUUCAGAAUUUGGAGCUUGGCUUUGCUUCAUUUGGUUUGCUUUCAACCUUUUGUUUAAAGCCUUUCUCAAAUCCCCAGAUGCUACAGUCUUACGAGCAAGAAUUUUUUGCCUUCGUAGUCUACAUAUUACCCUCCCCAGACCCCACCUGGUGGGAAUAUACUGGGUAGUUGUUGUUGUAGUUGUUGUUGUUGUUGUAGGAUGAACUCUAGAACAGUAUUUUGCCUUGCGGAAGUCAGCCCACAUAGAAUUGCUUACUCUAAAAUGCCACAAUCUCUUGAUGUUAAGAGUAUUAGAGAUAUCAUUCAAUCCGUGGAUAUCGAUUCCAGCUUCAUUCUUUGGACAACAAAGCUUAUCCCAAGAAGUCCAACAGUAUUUGUUUUUACCAUUGCAAGUACCUCAGAAGAAAUUGAUUAUGAUUUUGAAUAAGCUUCAGAGUUCCUUUGGAGGAUUAAUGGCAGAUAAAAGAUAAAUAUGUAGGGAAUCGAUAACAGAUUUAAUCAAAACUUGUCUACCACCACAGGAAAGCAUAUUACCUUGCCACGCAUUUAACCUUUUAAUAACCUUGGCACUCAUGCUAUCAAAACAAGAAUUUUUUUCUACCAAUGUAAAUAGGACAACCAAGGUAGUUAAAAGGAAAGCUUUUAUCCAGGAAUCCAGUAUUAGCUCUAAUUCUGUUGAUCCUAUAUGCAUAUCUUUUGGGAUCAAUGAGGAAAAAACUUUUAUCCAUGUUAACUUGCUGCCCAGAAACACAUAGUUCGUAAUUUGUUUCAUAAUCAAUUUUGGACUUAGUAUUUCCACUACUAAAAAUCACAAUAUCAUCAGCAUAAGCCAAAUGAGUAAUCUGAGGUCCAUUUCUAUGCACUGUGAAAUGAGUUAAAUCAUUGUUCUGAAGCAAACUAUUCAAGGAUUUAGAUAAAACCCAGCGUUGUAAAUAACGCUCUACAGCGCUAAAGGCGUGUAGCGAGGCGAGGUGAGGCUAUAGCGCCACACAUGGGACUGUUGCGUUGCGAGGCAAAAUAGCAUGCGCCUCUGCUUCUGUUGCGAGUGGCGAGGCCAGGUGAGUGGCGAUGCGAGGCGUCACUAUUUUGAUUAUACAGAAAAAUUAAAACAGUCAGCUACGUUCAGUUGCUCCAGUCGACGAAAAUUAGGGUUUCGCUCCAUCUUCUUCUUCAUCCAUCGUCUGCAACCAGCACCAGCCAAGUAUGUUCUUCUUUCUUCUUUCUUCUUUUCUCUUUCGCGACCAGCACCAGGCAGCAACAUCUUUGUUUUUCUUUCUUUCUUCUUUCUUCUUUCUUCUUUUCUCUUUCGCGACCAGCACCAGCAACAACUCUGUUUUUCGUUCUUUCUUCUUUGCUCUGUUUUUCUUUCUUCCUCUUUGCUCUGUUUUUCUUCUUCUUUCUUCCUAUUUAUGCUCUAUUUUUCUUCUUCUAUCACAUAUAUUUCAUCACGACUUUUGCUUGACAUUUUGCUAAGUCUAUCCUGUAAAGAAUGUCGAAGAGCACCUGCACAGAUAAAACAAGAAAUGUUAACCUGCAAUUCUGCUAAGUUGCUUAAUUUUUUUUGAUUUAUUGCUCUAUUUUUCUAUAAAAUAGCGUUGAAAAUUGAUUUGAUUUAUUGCUCUAUUUUCUUUAAAUUCUUUAUUUAUUGCUCUAUUUUUCUAUAAAACAGCGCUGAAAAAAUUGAAAUGGCGUCAUCCGAUAAUAGUAAACGAAGUGAUAUAGCUUGGAAUUAUGCUAUACAAGGCUCGUCAAGAACUGCAAUUAAAUGUUUGUUCUGUGGAAAACAUAUAAUGGUGGGAAUGUUUGUUCCGAGGAUGAAGAAGAUGAUAGCCAAUAUAAUGCUAUCAAUUAUGAUGUUGUAGAAUUUGAAUAUCUUGAAGAAGAAUAGAUGUUGCUUAUUUUAGAGUUUAGACUAUUAAUCUUUAAUUUAUGAAUCUAUUAUGAGUUUAUGACUAUCUAUUGAGUUUUUAAUUUUUAAAUUGAUAUAUUUAUUAACAUAUUAUUGUUAUUGAGUUUUUA
rnacentral:lncRNA from 1 species